CGUUAAAGCCGGUACGCGAGCUGGGUUCAGAACGUCGUGAGACAGUUCGGUCCCUAUACACUGCGGGCGUUGGAGAAUUGAGGGAAGCUGCUCCUAGUACGAGAGGACCGGAGUGGACAGACCUAGGGUGUACCAGUUGUCACGCCAGUGGCAGGUGCUGGGUAGCCAAGUCUGGCCGGGAUAAGCGCUGAAAGCAUCUAAGCACGAAGCCCCUCCCAAGACUAGUUCUCCUCGAGAGUAAAUCUGUAAGGGCCCAGGAAGACUACCUGGUUGAUAGGCCGGAUGUGUAAGGCCCGCAAGGGUUUGAGCUAACCGGUACUAAUCGCCCGAGCGCUUGGUCACUUAUAA
rnacentral:rRNA from 1 species